rnacentral:sRNA from 1 species
AUUAACGUAAUCUUACACGUUUUAACCCGACUACCAAUGAGUUGCUAAAUGAAAUUGAAUAUCAUUUAAUUACUGUUAUGAAUACCCCCAAAAUUCAUAACAUUUCUCCUUAACCGAAACUGUGUAAGCAGAUUCGUUGUUCUGCGCAGUGAUCACCCCAAUCACUGCGUAUUUUUUUAUGUUGAA